rnacentral:rRNA from 1 species
GGAAUUUUGGACAAUGGGCGCAAGCCUGAUCCAGCAAUGCCGCGUGAGUGAAGAAGGCCUUCGGGUUGUAAAGCUCUUUUGUCAGGGAAGAAACGGAUUUUUCUAAUACAGAGAUCUAAUGACGGUACCUGAAGAAUAAGCACCGGCUAACUACGUGCCAGCAGCCGCGGUAAUACGUAGGGUGCAAGCGUUAAUCGGAAUUACUGGGCGUAAAGCGUGCGCAGGCGGUUUUGUAAGACUGUCGUGAAAUCCCCGGGCUCAACCUGGGAAUGGCGAUGGUGACUGCAAGGCUAGAGUUUGGCAGAGGGGGGUAGAAUUCCACGUGUAGCAGUGAAAUGCGUAGAUAUGUGGAGGAACACCGAUGGCGAAGGCAGCCCCCUGGGUCAAAACUGACGCUCAUGCACGAAAGCGUGGGGAGCAAACAGGAUUAGAUACCCCAG